GAUUAAGUUAUUAAGGGCGCACGGUGGAUGCCUUGGCACUAGAAGCCGAUGAAGGACGUUACUAACGACGAUAUGCUUUGGGGAGCUGUAAGUAAGCUUUGAUCCAGAGA
rnacentral:rRNA from 1 species